rnacentral:rRNA from 1 species
AGCGAACGCUGGCGGCAGGCUUAACACAUGCAAGUCGAGCGGGCCCUUCGGGGUCAGCGGCGGACGGGUGAGUAACGCGUGGGAACGUGCCUUCUGGUCUGGAAUAACCCUGGGAAACUAGGGCUAAUACCGGAUACGCCCUUUUGGGGAAAGGUUUACUGCCGGAAGAUCGGCCCGCGUCUGAUUAGCUAGUUGGUGGGGUAACGGCCUACCAAGGCGACGAUCAGUAGCUGGUCUGAGAGGAUGAUCAGCCACACUGGGACUGAGACACGGCCCAGACUCCUACGGGAGGCAGCAGUGGGGAAUAUUGGACAAUGGGCGCAAGCCUGAUCCAGCCAUGCCGCGUGAGUGAUGAAGGCCUUAGGGUUGUAAAGCUC